CUUUCAUGGAGAGUUUGAUCCUGGCUCAGGACGAACGCUGGCGGCGUGCCUAAUACAUGCAAGUCGAGCGA
rnacentral:rRNA from 1 species